rnacentral:rRNA from 1 species
CCUACGGGGGGCAGCAGUGAGGAAUAUUGGUCAAUGGACGAGAGUCUGAACCAGCCAAGUAGCGUGAAGGGUGACUGCCCUAUGGGUUGUAAACUUCUUUUAUAUGGGAAUAAAAUGUUCCACGUGUGGGAUUUUGUAUGUACCAUAUGAAUAAGGAUCGGCUAACUCCGUGCCAGCAGCCGCGGUAAUACGGAGGAUCCGAGCGUUAUCCGGAUUUAUUGGGUUUAAAGGGAGCGUAGGUGGAUUGUUAAGUCAGUUGUGAAAGUUUGCGGCUCAACCGUAAAAUUGCAGUUGAAACUGGCAGUCUUGAGUACAGUAGAGGUGGGCGGAAUGCGUGGUGUAGCGGUGAAAUGCUUAGAUAUCACGAAGAACUCCGAUUGCGAAGGCAGUUCACUGGACUGCAACUGACGCUGAGGCACGAAAGUGUGGGUAUCAAACAGGAUUAGAUACCCUGGUAGUC